CCCUUGCACGUUUUCGAAGAACUGAAGAUGACCUAUUCGUGGCUCAAUGUUGCGCGCAGAUAUUAAUCAUUCAAGUCCUGCUUGGGUUUUCUAAAUCGAAGUUAAUUUUCUCUUAUCGUAGGCAUAUUUCUGACAGUUGACGGUGAGCCCAUUGAGGACCUCAGUGCUUGUUGCAUUUAUCUUUGAGUAAUAAUUUCCCGUUUCAACAAGGAAGAGGUAAAGGCUUCCUGGUGGAUUCUUCCAACGCAGGCCGCAAGUCAUGGAAAACCUGAAUCACCGUUGGCGUUUUGUUACUUGCUUCAUUGUCGUAGUGAGUGGAAUUUUCCAAAUAAGUUCAAGUCACCAAUGUCAUUUACAGAGUAUCCCUUUCUUCAAAGACAUUGGUUUUGCACUAGUCGGUCACGUGAUAGACACAAGAUCUCAAGUGCAACCUUAUGAUUGUUUAUGGAGCUGUAAAGCAAACCCAAGGUGCUUCUCUGUCAAUAUAGAAAGGGUAAAACAGGGACCUUACCGGUGCGAACUCAACAAUUCCACGAAGGAAGCUGAUCGUGAUAAUCUGAUUGAAAAGCCAGGAUUCGAGUAUAUAGCAUUUUUGGUAAGAUUAAUUUUCCAAGAAGCGUUUUG